GACGAACGCUGGCGGCGUGCUUAACACAUGCAAGUCGAACGGAAAGGCCCUGCUUUUGUUGGGUGCUCGAGUGGCGAACGGGUGAGUAACACGUGAGUAACCUGCCCUUGACUUUGGGAUAACUUCAGGAAACUGGGGCUAAUACCGGAUAGGAGCUCCUGCUGCAUGGUGGGGGUUGGAAAGUUUCGGCGGUUGGGGAUGGACUCGCGGCUUAUCAGCUUGUUGGUGGGGUAGUGGCUUACCAAGGCUUUGACGGGUAGCCGGCCUGAGAGGGUGACCGGCCACAUUGGGACUGAGAUACGGCCCAGAAUGCUACGGGAGGCAGCAGUGGGGAAUAUUGCACAAUGGGCGGAAGCCUGAGGCAGCAACGCCGCGUGCGGGAUGACGGCCUUCGGGUUGUAAACCGCUUUCGCCUGUGACGAAGAGUGAGUGACGGUAAUGGGUAAAGAAGCAACGGCUAACUACGUG
rnacentral:rRNA from 1 species